UACGUAGGGUGCGAGCGUUGCCCGGAUUUAUUGGGCGUAAAGCGUGCGCAGGCGGUGAUGUAAGACAGGUGUGAAAUCCCCGGGCUUAACCUGGGAACUGCAUUUGUGACUGCAUCGCUGGAGUGCGGCAGAGGGGGAUGGAAUUCCGCGUGUAGCAGUGAAAUGCGUAGAUAUGCGGAGGAACACCGAUGGCGAAGGCAAUCCCCUGGGCCUGCACUGACGCUCAUGCACGAAAGCGUGGGGAGCAAACAGG
rnacentral:rRNA from 1 species